rnacentral:rRNA from 1 species
UUGACCUCGGAUCAGGUAGGAUACCCGGCC